rnacentral:lncRNA from 1 species
AGCGAAGGGCUGGAGGCAAACACCGAGCUCCCCCUGAGCCGCCUGGGAGCAGGGAGGGUUCUGCUACCCUGAGGGGCCCUCCCCGCGGGGCAGAGGGGACCAGCCCAACAUGGCUUCCAACACAGAGACCAGAAGGACCCAAUAAGAGACCGAAGACACGACUGAUAAUACAGAAAGGAGGGUGAUGCUGUGUGCAAGGCAGAUACAAGAUGGUUUUUCCAUAAGAGGAAGUGAUCAUGGCAACCAUGACCUUCUCUGACCUUCUCUCUUCCAAGAGGCUGUUGGGAAGGUGGGAUGACCUAGGAUUGACCUUGGACUUGACAUCACAGAAGCCAUUUCAACCUUCACAGAGGAGUGUUCCACUGACUGACCUCUUUUUGUUUUCAAAUGAAGAGGAGCCAAGAAUAGGACAGCUUGGGAAGCUCAUCCUCGUCUACGGCCAAACGUUGGUUUCUCAUUUCUAGAAGAUGAAAGAUGUGAUGACUCAGGAAAAACUGGAAUCUUAGUAACUGUGGUGGGCAUUGAGCCUUGCCGUCCACAAGAGAAAGCUUGCUGCUCGAGAUGUGAGUCUUCAGAUGUUCCUGCCGCCAUAUCUGACAGCUGCUGCCAAGAUUCCCUGGUGGGAUGGACUCUUAUACCUCAACAACCAGAAGCCCAAGUAAACUCUUCUAUAAAUUGAAUGACUCAUGCUUAAAAAAAAAAACAAAAAACAAACUA